GAAGAACUUCAGAUUGAGCCUCUUGAAACAUUUGCUCUUGGAAUUCUCCCUCUCAGGAAACUAACAGCCUGCUAUGAAGCCCAAGCCACAAAGAGAGGCCAAGGGGAAAUAAACAGAGUGUGAUUAUAUGCAAAACCUACAAGAAUGAGGACCUCCAAACUCAGUGUACAGAGUGAUUUUCUGCUGAAACAAUUGGAUAAGCUACAUAAAUGACGGCAUAUUGGAUGGUGACAGCGCCUCUAGAGUGUGUACUUCUGAUAUGCAAAGACAUACCAUGUCAGUUUACAACUGUAUUGUAUUUUGUUCUGUUUUCCCUUAUGAUGAUUCACUGGCUGUGAAGCUUUUAAAAAAUUGUGUGACUGACCAGCAGCAGUGGCUCACAUCUGUAAUCCCAGCACUUUGGGAGGCCGAGAAAAUAAAAGAGACAUCAGUGUGUGAAUGACGACUUUCUGUUGCUGACUUGGAAGACAGAGGAAUUGGGUCAUGAGCCGAGGAAGGUGGGCAGCUUCUAAAAGGCGGAAAAGGCAGGGGAUGGCUCUGGCAGAGAAUCACUCCUGAGUACAACUUUCUGGCGGAAGCUCUAAUACAAGAUGUAUACAGAAAAUUACAUUAAAUACCUGUCUCCAGCCUGCUUCAUGUAUUUCUGCAAUGACUAAAGAUGCAUGUUCAGUUUUGGAGGAAUCUUGGGCAACCUUCAGAAAAGAAGAGCGGCAUUGAAUUAAAUGGACUAUAAAAGGAAAUCUUUCAGCUGAAGUAUUCUGACAGCAGCAUAUUCUUGCCAACCAGGUCGUUCCAAAUGUGUAUCUGACCAUUAUUUUAAAUUAGAAGAUAUACCACUGUCAAACCAUAUCAGCCAAGAAUAAAAAGUGACAUAAUAAUGUUAAAGGAAAAACCACUGACAAUUUUUUCAGUAGUUCUCAUCCAGUACCAUAAUGCAAUAGAAUGUCAUAAGUAAUUUGUUUCUAAUAACACUAAAAGC
rnacentral:lncRNA from 1 species